UCACUGAGUAGUGUCCGAGUUGGCACAAUUUGUACGACUCAGAGAAGCGAACAACGCGGGCCCCACGAGUUUUGAAUCUCGCUCGCAACGCGACAUUUGAGGAGGUGCAAUUCUCGACUCCAUUCGCUUGACUACCCAUGACUCAUUCGAAGAAAAUCAUCCGAAACUUCCACAAAAAUCUCUCUUCCCUUUCCCAUUACUUGUUUUCUUCUUCUUUUGUUUGUGAUUGUUAUUUUCUGUAACUAAGGGAAGAGGUUAUUGAAGAAAAGGAAAUGCAUAAGGUGAAGGAACGGUCAAGAUCCUCCAGACCAACCACCAUCCAUGGCUUUGCUCAGUAUGGAGAUCUCUUUGCCUUUCAAAAGCUACUUCGAGACAACCCUUCUCUUCUUAAUGACAGAAAUCCCGUUGUAAGCUCUCUUUCUAUCUGUAUAAUGUGGACGUGAGAAAGGACAUUUUCGAUUUGAGGAUCUUGACGAUUUAUCAAGAACAAGAUUUAUUUAUUUAUUAUUAUUUUGAAUUUCCAUUUUCAAGUUUCUUCAGCUUAAGAUAGAUAUAAAUUAAUGAAUCUGGGAUUUCGGGUUUGCUUUAUUUAUGCAACUUCUGACUGCAAUUUUGUCAAAAGAAGGAAAUCUUUAUCUGCAACUGCAAAUAUUUCAACUCAAAUUCAAUUCCUUUCCGUUGGUGAAAUUUGAAAUUCCCAAAUCGAAAGCUUGUUCCAUUACGUGUUGGAUUUCAUGCUCAUGUGCCUAUAAGAUGCAGAUAAUAACAUGUGAUUAGAUGGAUAAUUUUUGUGCAUUUGAACUAUGAUGCAUUUGGCUGGCAAAGGGCAAGAUUUGAUAUGAUUUCCAUCUCAGAGAAAUUCAGUACAUGAUUUUAUGGUAAUAACGAUGAGAGGACGUGAUGAUACUGGUGAAAUCUUUAGUCAUACCAGGGUCUGUGAAGAUUGCUUCUUUUUAGUGCAUCAUUAUUCAUGAAGAUGAUCUUUAAGUUGGGGCUCGGGAUAAGGACGAGGGUGGGUAAUUAUACAUGAAGAUGAACUCUAAGUCGGAGGUGUGGGGGAAUGAAGAUGGUGUCAUGAUGUGAAGUAAUUUCAGUGGGUUAUAUAACAGUAUGAUAAAUGAAGUCAUUAUGUUGUGGAUAUCGCAGUGUUCUAUGGAUUUUCAUCUUUCAUUGAAUUCUUGUGCUAGUUUAGCGAGGUUGGAUUUGUGAUUCUAUUCCAAUUGUUAAAUCUUGCAUGCGAAACCUUUACAAUAUGAGUUCUUUCUUCGACCUUCAUUAUUUAGUUAUUCACUGAGCCAUUUCUCCGCCUUACCUCUUGCCCAU
rnacentral:lncRNA from 1 species